rnacentral:rRNA from 1 species
CCUACGGGUGGCAGCAGUGGGGAAUAUUGCGCAAUGGGCGAAAGCCUGACGCAGCGACGCCGCGUGAGGGAUGAAGGUCUUCGGAUCGUAAACCUCUGUCAGCAGGGAAGAACGGUCACUGUGCUAAUCAGCAGUGAAUUGACGGUACCAUCGGAGGAAGCACCGGCUAACUACGUGCCAACAGCCGCGGUAAUACGUAGGGGGCGAGCGUUGUCCGGAAUUACUGGGCGUAAAGAGAGCGUAGGCGGCACUACAAGUCGCAUGUGAAAUACCCGGGCUUAACGUGGGGGUUGCAUGGGAAACUGGAGAGCGUGAGUACAGGAGAGGCAAGCGGAAUUCCGAGUGUAGCGGUGAAAUGCAUAGAUAUUAGGAGGAACACCAGUGGCGAAGGCGGCUUGCUGGACUGAAACUGACGCUGAGGCUCGAAAGCGUGGGGAGCAAACAGGAUUAGAUACCCGGGUAGUC